GAUGAACGCUGGCGGCGUGCCUAAUACAUGCAAGUCGAGCGAAUGGAUUAAGAGCUUGCUCUUAUGAAGUUAGCGGCGGACGGGUGAGUAACACGUGGGUAACCUGCCCAUAAGACUGGGAUAACUCCGGGAAACCGGGGCUAAUACCGGAUAACAUUUUGAACCGCAUGGUUCGAAAUUGAAAGGCGGCUUCGGCUGUCACUUAUGGAUGGACCCGCGUCGCAUUAGCUAGUUGGUGAGGUAACGGCUCACCAAGGCAACGAUGCGUAGCCGACCUGAGGGGGUGAGCGGCCACACUGGGACAGAGACACGGCGCAGACUCCUACGGGGGGCAGCAGUAGGGAAUCUUCCGCAAUGGACGAAAGUCUGAGGGAGCAACGCCGCGUGAGUGAUGAAGGCUUUCGGGUCGUAAAACUCUGUUGUUAGGGAAGAACAAGUGCUAGUUGAAUAAGCUGGCACCUGGACGGUACCUAACCAGAAAGCCACGGCUAACUACGUGCCAGCCGCCGCCGUAA
rnacentral:rRNA from 1 species